GUGACGGACCAGAAGGCACUUCCGGCUCCGGUGGCAUGGCUGAUCCGUGCCUGGAGGAUGAUCCUGCAGUGCAGGGCAGGAAGAGGGAACCGUUCGGAACCCGCUUCCUGAGCGAUCCGUCGCGUGUCUUCUACCACAAUGCCUGGGACAAUGUGGAGUGGACGGAAGAGCAGGCUGCGGCGGCGGAGAGAAAAGUGCAGGAGAACAGUGCCCAGCGCGUGUGCCAAGAGAAACAAGUUGAUUAUGAGGUUAAUGCCCAUAAAUAUUGGAAUGACUUCUACAGAAUUCAUGAAAAUGGAUUUUUCAAGGAUAGACACUGGCUUUUCACGGAAUUCCCUGAGCUGGCACCUACCACAAACCAAAAUCACUUGAAGGAUUUGAUCUUGGAGAACAAGAAAGAUGAAAUUUCUGACUACCAAAACAGUAAAGAUGGACCUGGUUUAACAAUAGAACAACCCAAAUGUUCUUCAACUGGCCUGGGACAUAAAACACAGACACCUCCUGAGGAAGAGACUGUCCCUCAGAAAUUGAGUCACCUGCAAAUUUGUGCUGAUAAACUACCUGGAUCCUCAGCCACCUACCGAAUACUUGAGGUUGGUUGUGGUGCAGGAAACACGGUCUUUCCAAUCUUACAAACUAACAAUGACCCAGGCCUCUUUGUUUAUUGUUGUGACUUUUCUUCUACAGCUGUAGAACUGGUCCAGACAAACUCAGAAUAUGAUCCAUCUCGCUGUUUUGCUUUUGUUCAUGAUCUUUGUGAUGAAGAUCAAAGCUACCCAGUGCCUGAGAACAGUAUUGAUGUCAUCGUUCUUAUAUUUGUUCUUUCAGCAAUUGUUCCAGAGAAGAUGCAAAAAGCUAUAAACAGGCUGAGCAGGCUUCUGAAGUCUGGAGGGAUGAUGCUUCUACGAGAUUAUGGUCGUUACGACAUGGCUCAGCUUCGGUUUAAAAAAGGCCAGUGUCUCUCUGGAAAUUUCUAUGUGAGAGGUGAUGGCACCAGAGUUUACUUCUUCACUCAAGGGUUUCUGUAAAUCAGUAAAUUACCCAGACUGGACUCAAGUUUGCAAUCCUGCCAGUCUUCCAGAUGCUGGGUUACAGUUGUUUCCCACCACAUCCCGUUUCCCAAGGAAUUUAGAGGUAGCUCAAACAGGUUGAGACCACCCACACUUCACUGGAGCCCAUGUAAGCAUCUGACAGUGAACCUUUGACAUCAGAAGGCACAAAUUCCACCCUCCAGAGCAAGCUGACACUGCCGUACUGCAUUAGGAUCGUGGUUCUAGAAGAUCAGGAAUGUUACUAUGUGCAGACAGACUACAGAUUUGUUCUUUUCCUCUCUUCUAGUCAUCUUUGUCCACAGCUCAGCUUUGUCACAGCUGCUUUGUUAUCCCAUAAAUGCCCCUAACACCUAUGGGGAGGCAGAUUUAAGACCUGAGGCUUCAUUCUUUUUUUUUUUUUUUUUGGUCUUUCUUCCUUUUUAUCGGUACCGGGGAUUGAACUCAUGACUGCCUGCUUGCAAGGCAGGCGCUUAUGCCACUGAGCUAAAUCCCCAGCCCGAGGCUUCAUUCUUCUUAAUAUUUGACCACCUCAUGCAUACACUAAUUUUCUUGCAAAAUUCAUGGUUUCACUGAUUGGUGUAUUGUGCAAUGGCCAAGUGGGUGAAAUAACAGAAUGCCUGAAACUUGCCAGUGGCUUGACAAUAACAAAUUAAACAUGUGCAUACUUGUGUGUGUAUGUGCACACACAGUAAGAGUGGGAAGGAGAGGGAGGGAGGGGGCAGGAAGACUCGGAGAGAAACAGCAAGAAUACAUACUGAUUGAAAAAAUCUAGGUGGAGGGUAUUUUAGAGUUCUUUUUUUUUCUCAACUUUUCUGUAGGUUUAAUUUUUUUCUAAAAGAAAAAUGUUGGGGGGAGAAGGAAGCAUGAUUAGCGGGAUCAAGGGAGGGUUUUUAUACAAUUCGUAGAUGUUUUUGAAAUUAGAGCACGUGUAUCUACAGGGAACCUUCCUGUGCAAGAGGAGGAGGCGAUACAAACGGGAGCAUCUAGAGUCCAGAGGAGGCAGAUGGUACCCCCUGAGGUGGAGGGGAACAGACAGGCUUCUGCAGGGUAUCUGGGUGCUCCUAGGCCCUUGUUUGAUGAUUUCCAAUUUCUCCGCCAAGUAAAAUCUGAGACUGUCCACAGAGACCAAGAGGGGGUGACAGGCAGGGGCACAGGGCCAGGAAAAAGACUGGUAGAAAAAAGAAAAAAGUGAUGGAAUUUGUUGUUUGGAGUUAAACCCUAAUUGAAGAUUAAUUUAUCUGCUUAGAGAAUGAGCCAACAGAGGACAGUUUAAAUCCUUACAAUGCUAGGUCUCAAUUUCUCUAUAACAUAAGAAGCUUGAAAUGGAAGAUCUCAAAAGAAGGGCCAGGGAUUUAGCUCAGUGGCACAAGUGCCUGCCUUGCAAGCAGGCAGUCGUGAGUUCCACCCUCAGUACCAAUAAAAAGGAAAAAGACUAAAAACAAAAGAUCCUGCAAGUUCCUACACAGUGAUGUGUACCCCAAAGAGCAUGUGUUUAGACUGUGUAAGAAUUUAGGGCUGAAGUGUAACUUAGUGUACAUGAGGACCCUGGGUUUGAUCCCCCUACCAAAUAACCAAAAACCAAUAAUGAAAAACAUCCUAGUAAAAAUUAGGAAUAAACAGAAAGACACUUGAAACGUAGGCUGCUUAAGGAUUCCAAACCAGGGGAGAGAGGGUUCUCUAUGUACUUCAGAAGUCCGGGGCUCUGAGAAAUUUCAAUUAGGUGCUCUUAGAGUGAGCUUAUUAUGUGAUCUCUUUGAGAAUAAAUUCUGCUUUCCUGGCUCUCACUGAAGUUCACAUCACAUGAUGUGAAAUGAAACAGUGCAUUAAUGUGAUUAACACUGACUAAAGCUCCAUGGGUGAGCAAAUAUAGUGUGAAGUGGGUUCGGGAAUUUUAAAAUACCUAUUAUUAUUUUUAUUUUUAUCAGUACUCACAACUGCCUGCUUCCAAGGCAGGCACUUACAUCGCUGAGCUAAAUCUCCAGCCCAGAUCUCUGUAUCUUUGAGGGCAAAGGUUGUGCAUGAGUCAUCCACCUUGGACUCCCUGGUGACUGAUGAAGAUAGGUAAGGACAGGGGUGAAGGAGAGUUUGCUGCUAACCUCCUCAGAGGUGGCUCCACCACACACUGCUGUGCUGAGAGCCUGACCCUGCUUUACACAGAUGGUCUCACUUAGAUUUGAUGAUGCCCCUGGAAGCUGGUAUUAUUAGCCCCAGGAGGAAACUGAGGGGAAAAGGGGUUAAAUAACUUGCCAAAGGUCUUCACCCAGCCAAGUGAAGAGUGAGGCUCCGAUGUGUUUAAACCCAAGCCUGUGCUCUUGACCACCUGGCUGUCCAGUCUUUCAACACAGCACAAGAUGAACCUUUGGAAAUCUUGCAUUCACCUGACUGGAAAGCAGUUAGCAGCGUGCUGAGCACAGGUGCUAGGGCAUUCAGUGGAUAUCAGCUACUGUGACUGCCUGAAGGAUUGACAGUUUGAAUGAAUGAGUAGAGACAUGAUUUCCUGUCUUGUGGGGUUGUUUUCUUUGAAUAGAAGAUUUCCCCAUAGCCUUUGAAUGCUUGAUCUAAUUGUGGCAAAAAGGCAUCUGAGAAUUGUGUGGCCUGUCCUUUAUUAACUGUUAAGGCCAGUCUGACAGGCUGUUUAUGUGUAAGGUCAGAGAUCAGUCUUUAGCUGCUCUCUUCUCAUUCAUCUAGCAAAGCACAGAACAUAAAGUUUAUUGAUGCAAAACUGAUUGGCAGGCAGGGGUAAGAAAGUGGUGAGGACAGGGAAUAUCAGAGUUCUAAGUCACUGUAAGUUCUAAGUCAGUCUGCUCCUUCUGUGCUGACUUUCUUGUUCUUCUGGUUGCUGGGUCACAUACAACUUCUGACCUAGAAUUAAGCAGCUGCGAGGGUGCUCCCAGGGGUGCUCUCAUGGAGUCCACUGAUACAGAGAAGGAAAGGAGUUGUCUGUUUGGAAAGAGUGAUACGUGGAAGGUUAGGUAUGGAUGGUUUUAAAACUUCACAAAUUAUGGGCUGGGGGUUUAGCUCAGUGGCAUAAGUGCCUGCCUGACAAGCACAAGGUCGCAAGUUCGAUCCCCGGUGCCAAAAAUUUAAUUAAUUAAAUUAAAAAGUAAAACUUCACAAAUUAAAGGUAUUCCUGCGUAAGACUCCUUUAGACAGACCCAGUGCCUCGAGAAAGGUAAAUCUUACACCUGCACUUUGCAGCCAGCCCAACACCACGCAGCUAUGUGGCUCUUCUGUGACCAUGAGCUGAGAAAGUGGGGAAAGGCUACACAAGUGGCUCUACUUGCAGUGUUCUUGGGAUAAACACCAGGAGGUGGGCUGGAGGUUCCAGGAUAGAGAGGUGGACUGAGGAAUUGUAGCUCAUGCCAUAAUGAUGGAACAAGGACUCAAACAUCUUUUUUUUAUUUUUUUGAGACAGAGUCUGUAUCGCUAUGCAGUUCAGGCUGGCCUUGAGUUCACUUUGUAGCCUAGGCUGGUCUUUUUUUUUUUUUUUUUGGCUUUUUCCUUUUUUACCGGUACCAGGGAUUGAACUCAUGACUGCCUGCUUGCAAGGCAGGCGCUUAUGCCGCUGAGCUAAAUCCCCAGGCCCUAUGUAGCCUAGGCUGGUCUUGAACUUGCAGUGAUCCUGAUCCUCCUUCCUCAGCCUCUCGAGGGCUGGGAUUGCAGGAGUGCACUACCACAUUGGGCUUCUAUUAUUCCCUUUUAAAAUCAGGACUAAACUUGAAUCUGCCUGAUCUGACAAAAAGCAUUUAGGUUAUUUUACAAGCCAUCCUUGUCCUUGUAAAGUCAGAACUGGUAGUUUCCCAGCAUACAGCUCUCUGGGGUAAGCCCCUCCCCCUGCAACAUAUAUUCAUACAAACCCACACACGCACAAGUGCAACCAUGCACACACACAAAGUAAAGUAGUUCACUUAGAAACAAUAACAAAUUUUAACAAGUCAAAAUCCCUAAAAUCAAAAGCAAGCAAACAAACAAACAAUGUCAAAUCCCUAACCCACCCUCAUUUUCUCAAGAUAUACUCCAGGUUCCUAUCUGUUUCUGGACAGGCAGGAGGGCAAAGUCCCUUUCCCCUUAUCUGCGGCAGGGCGGGGCCCAGGCUGCAUUAAAUUCUAGAAACUUUCACUGCAGAGCAUGGCAGGAUUCCGUCCAGUCUCUGCCAUGAUGAGCUGUGUGAACUUGAUGGACAGGACCUGACCCUCCGAGUUCUGUCAACCAAUGAUAAGCAGACUGCUACUGUAGUACACGGAGCUGUGAGGUGAUUAAGGAAGGGUCCUACACACCCACGCACCAACCACUAGCUCUAUAUAACUCCAUAACUGCUGUAUUCACAAUCGAAUAAAGUGUUCUAGGUGCACAGCAAAGGCUUUAGAGCUAUUAAAGUGGUCUCCAGACUAUCAACAGAUUCACCUGGAAAGAUUUAGGCCCCACUCCCAACCUACAGGUUAAGAAACUUUGGGAGUGAUGCCCAGCACUGUGAACAAGCCCUCCGAGCUCUGAUGCCUGCUCAGUUUGAGAAUUAAAAAUUACAAACUACACUGUAACAGCUAGCCUUUUUUUACUUUGCGUAUGAAGUUUCAUUGGAACAGAACUACACUCAUUCAUUUAUACAUUAUCUGUGGCGACCUUCAUUCUAUCUGACAGAAAAUAGGGUCUGAAUGUGUGAAUUUUUAAAUUAAUCUUUUGCAAUACUGGGACUUGAAUCAAGGGCCUUUGCACUGAGCUACAUCCCAAGCCCUUUUUGAAUUGUGAGACAUGUUAAGACAUUGAGAUAAUUUGCUAAAUCACUAUAUUACCCAAGCUGGGCUCAAACUUGACACCUUCCUUUCUCAGCCUCCUAGAGUGUCACCAUGCUGGGCUUGAAACUUUUACUGUCACAUAAUAUAAAAGGUUUGCUGCACCACCUCCGGAUCUCUCCUUUGUGACUCUGCUGCCAGAGACUCUUGCAACAGCUCCCUUCCUGCCUGCCCAGAAUUGCUCUAAGAAUUAAACCAGUUAACAUAUUUGUUACUCUGCAACUAAAUCUGGAUUUACCAAGAAUCUUGGGCCUGGGAUUUAGCUCAGUGGCACAGAGUCUGCCUGACAAGCAUGAGGUCCUGAGUUCAAUUCCUGGCACCCAGUAAAUUAGAUAAAUAAGUACAUAAAUAAAAUGAAGGAGUGUCUUAGUUACUUUCUCACUGCUGGGCCACAAUACCUUACCCUAAAGUUAAGAAGGAAAAGGUUAUUUAGCGCACAGUGUGCAGAGGUUUCGGCUUAUGGUGGCUCCCCGGCAGGGUGGCACUGCAGAGGAGAAGCAGUUCAUGGUGGGCAGAAGGCAACCAAGCAAGCAAGGGAAUCAACAAGUGACCUUAGCAGCUUCUUUCUGCCCCUUUUUAUAUUCUGCUGAGGCCACUGAGAUGAGGGAAGUGCCAAACCAAUCAGUGGCCUGAUUUAGUAAUCACUCACCCUUAAUCCUAGCAUGGCACCAUGAAAUCAAUCACACACUCUUGAUCCAACCACCUCUGCAAAAGCCCCAUUUCUGACUGCAUGAGGCUUUGGGGUGACAUCUAAACACAAGCCAUAACAAGGAGGAACACAAGGAGACCGAGGGACAUAAUAGUUGAAAUCUGCAUUGGUUUCCCACUGAGAUACAAAAGCAUCUUUCAGGACACUGGUUUUUACCACCAAAAAUGGCUGCUGCCAGACAGGCACUAUAGGGCACAGGUCAUGUGUGGGUCUCAGAAACUGCUUUAAUAUGCUUUUUCUUUCCUAUUGCAACUAUUGUCUUAGUAAGACCUUGCCUUGAAAACAGUUCCAUCUUGCACUUUUUAAAAAAAUGUCUAAUGAAUGUAUUAACUGCUUUAACCAUAGGGUUAAUUCUGAAACAUGAAGACACUGGCCCAAAAAAGUGAAGUGACUUCCCCAAAUCAGCAGCUAGUCAACAUUAAAAUAGCAUCAUAAACUGGAUGUGGUAGUGCUCAUCUCUAAUCCCAGCACUCAGGAGGCUAAGCAGGAGGAUUGCCAUGAGUUUGAGGCCAGCCUGAACUACAUAGCAAGACCUUGUCUCCAAACAACAACACAGCAUCUGAAUCUCUAGGUCAGUAUAAGACAUAUGUAAAAACUGAAAACAAAAUGGGUGAUGUAGUCCCAAGAAAAGGUAACCCUAUACAUUGCUUGUAGUUUCAGAGGUAUGACGCUCCAUGUCUCAUCUUUAGUGAGAUUCAAUAAGAGGGACAGACUGGGUGUCCAGUCCUUUAUUGUAUGUGUGUGUGUGGUAAGAACUGAAUCUUGGGUCCUCAUAUUGAGCCACAUUGCUGGCCCUCCAACCCACCACCUUUUCUUUUGAGUCAGAAUCUUGCUACAUUGCGUGCCAUGCCCACUGGUGUCUAGUUUUUUGAGAAGACAGGGCUCUACUGUUUUUUUUUAAUUGAUGAUUUAUGAUUGUGUAAAUUCACAGAGUACAAAAUGAUGUAAUUUAUGAAUACAAUGUAGAAUAAAUCAAUUUGAGACAAUCAUUGUCUCAAAUACUUAACAUUUGUUCAUAGAUAUCUGAAAUUUAUUCCUUGUAGUUUUGAAGUGUACAAUACUUGUUAACUAUAUAUACCAUGCAACAGAACUUAACAACUAUCUCUGGAGUCAUUGUGCUUAUCCCAGUUGCUCUUGUUGCUGCCCAAGUCUUCUGGUGUGUUCUGCCUUCCAGAGUGGUGUUCCUGUGAGGACAGUCAGUGCCACAGCAGGCCACUCGGGAGGCCCAUGCCCCUUUGAAAAGGAUCAGACCAGUAUCCUGUGUUUGUCCACUCUCUGGUAUUCCUAUUGUGUUCUUCCUGAAACCUGGUUAUCUGGGGCAGAGGCCUUUAGAACAGCAUCAGACUCUGGGUGAAUUUGACAGAAGUCUUCAAACCUGAAGAUCCAACUGCCUGUUCUUGUCUAAACCUACAAAGGCAGCAGAAGCUAAUGACCACACAACAAAAGCUGCAGCACACAAUAUGAGGCAAUAGGAAACCGGAAAGAGAUGAGGGAAAAUCAAUCAUUUAUUUAAAUGAAACUAAAGGAAGAAAUGGAGUGUGGAGAAAGCCUUAACAACUCAGUUCUUAGCAAGGCAUAAUGGUGCCCACUCAUAAUUCCAGCACUCUGGGAGGCUGACACAGAAUCACAAGUGAGAGCCCAACCUGGGCAAUUCAAUGAGAUUCUGUCUCAAAAUGGAGACAGUUGGGGCCUGGGAUUUAGCUUAGUAGUGUAAGCACCUGCUUGGCAAGUGUGAGGUCAUGAGUUUGAUCCCUGGUACAAAAAAUUUUUUUUGAGACAAAUUUUUCUUUCUUUUUCCUUUUUAGCGAUACCGGGGAUCGAACUCAUGACUGCCUUUCAAGGCAGGCGCUUAUGCCGCUGAGCUAAACCCCCAACCCCUGACAAAUUUUUUUUUAAAGGCUGUAGAUGUAGCUCAGUGUAAAGUUCCUGGGUUCAAUAUUCUGUACCACAAACACAAAUUUUAAAAACUUCUCAAGUCUUGGGCUGGAGGUGUAACUCAGUGGUAGAGCACUUGCCUACCAUGUAUGAGGCCCUGGUUUCUAUUCCCAGCACUGAAAAAAGCAAAACUAAACCAAACCAACCGUUUACGUAGGGAGCUCAGGGAGCUAACUGGGCAACCUGGGUCUCCCUAUCUGGCAGACCUAGAAGACACUUGAUCUCAAAUAAACGGAUAAACACGUACAGUUCUAUCCAGGCCACAGCCAGUAAAGCAAAUUAAGAUCAGUGGUGCCUUAGAGAUUUUGAAAUGGAGUGUGGUAGGACCGGUAGAAAUCACUGAGUGCCGUGGAGCUGGUGAGCUUAAAACUAGCAGUUUGGGCAAACAGUGCAGGAUCUGGAGCCAUAGUUUCUUGCAGAAUUCUCACUUGGCUGCCACCUGCAGUGUGCCUGGGGAUUUCCUGUCUCCUGCUGCUUCCUUUUCCUCCUGCAUGAAGAGGGUCUCCCUCACGGGUGUGAGGAUUGAAUGUGAUUAAAAUAAACAUGCUCUCCAGGACCCGU